CGGUUGUCCGCGUUAUUCUGCUUUGAAGUUCCAAGCAGUUUAGAGAGUUUUGGUGAUGAUUCACCUGCCAAAAACUUGUUAAACACAAGCCAUAACAUGCUGCUACACUUUCUAGCUCAUAAUACUGAAUAUUUUUCAUCGAUUAAUUCAAUGCCUGUUGACGCAUCGAACAAUGGCGUCACAUUCCUGAAUUUUUUAUUAACAAUUUUGAAUCCAGCCCAAUUCACAGCCAUCCACUCCAAAAUUAUGUCACAAAUAAUGAAUUAUGUUACUUUGUAGUUAAUAGAGGUAAUAAUUAUGAAUAUUUUUUAUAUUAGUAGUAGAAUUUUGUUUUUUUAUUCAAUAAUAAUAACAAGCGUCAUUACGCUAAUGGACAUGUCUGAGCAAAUUAUCCAAAAAUAAUGGAAUUAUGAUGAAUUUAAUCAUGAAUCAUGUAUAAUAAUGUUCAAAUAUGAUUAGAAAAUAUUUAUUUCAUAAAAAGACAGUGGCUCAUAAUGAAAUAAUGGGUAAUUUGAUACAAGCAUCUUAUUGCGUAUUAGAAAAAACAAUGACGCCAUUUUUGCAACUUGGCGUCGGGUGAAUUUUUUAUGUAAAAAUACGUAAAUUUAUAGAUUGAAUAUGACUGAAAAUAAUCUUAAACGAUAGACAAUAAUUAUGUAAAUGUUAUUCAGUGAUAUUUAUGUGUGUUUUAUCGUGUUUUCAUAAAUUAGGUGUGAAUAAGUAGUUCAGUGUUUAGUUAAUUGUGUGUGUAUAUGUGUGUAGUGUUGUGAUGACGACAAGUGGAGUUUAGCUAGAACAAUAACCACCAUCAGGUGUUAUGAGAAAUGAUUUUAGCAACACAAGUUAGCACGAAAGGUGUUGGAGACUGUUGUUGACUUUUAUCUAUUAUUCUUUGGAUCAGAGUAGAUUAGAUAUUAUAACGUGUGAGAACCUAAAAUUUGUUGUCCAAAAGUCAAGAUUUGUUGAUAAACAUGAAGCUAAAUCAUCAAUGUUAUCAAGAAGCCUCAUUCAGAGUUAAUAUCACGAAGAAAUUUCUUCAUUUUUAUCCAAUCUGACCAUCAAUCUGACUGCAGGCAUUCUUAACUAAAAAAAAAAAACAGAUAGAGAUGACAAUCAUCAUCAUCAUCAUUGGCAAGGUGGUCAGAAGCGGCUGCAAAGAUGCAUGAAAAAUGGACGAGAGUGGCCGAUACUCUAGAAGGUUUGAGGAACGAAAGACUGAAAGGAAGAAAAAUGAGGGUGAUACGAGUAAAAGUGAGGACUUGGAGGAGGAUGGGAAGGUGGAAGAGGAUGAAGGAAAUAUCUGCUGCCUGUUGCUGGAGAAAAAUGUGUGUCGACGAGUAUUAAAUGGAAUGAAGGAAGGAUAAGAAAACAUCGUGAAAGGUAAGAACAAUGUAAAUACUAAGAUUUGCAUGAAAUCAUUUU